rnacentral:rRNA from 1 species
GAUGAACGCUAGCGGCAGGCCUAAUACAUGCAAGUCGAACGGUGUAGCAAUACACAGUGGCGCACGGGUGCGUAACACGUAUGCAACCUACCUUACAUUGGGGGAUAGCCUUUCGAAAGGGAGAUUAAUACCGCAUAAGACAGUAACUAGGCAUCUAGUAGCUGUUAAAGAUUUAUCGAUGUAAGCUGGGCAUGCGUCCAAUUAGUUAGUUGGUGAGGUAACGGCUCACCAAGACGAUGAUUGGUAGGGGAACUGAGAGGUCAAUCCCCCACACUGGCACUGAGAUACGGGCCAGACUCCUACGGGAGGCAGCAGUAGGGAAUAUUGGGCAAUGGGCGCAAGCCUGACCCAGCCAUGCCGCGUGCAGGAAGAAGGCGUUAUGCGUUGUAAACUGCUUUUAUACAGGAAGAAACGACCCUUGCGAGGGGCAUUGACGGUACUGUAUGAAUAAGCACCGGCUAACUCCGUGCCAGCAGCCGCAGUAACAC